UACGGAGGAUCCGAGCGUUAUCCGGAUUUAUUGGGUUUAAAGGGAGCGUAGGCGGAUGUUUAAGUCAGUCGUGAAAGUUUAAGGCUCAACCUUGAAAUUGCAGUUGAUACUGGAUAUCUUGAGUACAUUGAAUGUGGGCGGAAUUCGUGGUGUAGCGGUGAAAUGCUUAGAUAUCACGAAGAACUCCAAUUGCGAAGGCAGCUCACAGUAAUGUAACUGACGCUGAUGCUCGAAAGUGUGGGCAUCAAACAGG
rnacentral:rRNA from 1 species